UCAUCAUCAUUUUUUUGGUCGCCAUCGUCAUCAUCAUUGAUUUUUCAUUUUCAGUAUUUCUGAAAAAAAAAAUCCAGAAAUUCUUCAGAAUAAUAUUUUGGUUAGUCAUCGUUGUUUGGUCGUUAAAUAGACGUAAUCAUUUUUGACGUAAUAUUUAACAUUAUAGCACCAUUGCAAUCGAAUUUUUUGACAGAAAUACUGAAAAAAAAUCCCGCUUUCACCAACAACAACGACAACUAUACAGCAGCUGAUCAUCAGAUCACCUAUUGAAUCAAUCAAACAAUCUAUUGACAUCCAUCAUUUGUUAUUUAUCCUAAAAAUAAUCAUCCAUUCAAUAAACAAUCAAUCGUUGUCAACAAAUUACGUGUAUUAAUGACGUAUGUGAGCAGAUUCCAAACAAAAAUAUUCAUGUACCUGAACAUCAUUUGAUUAUUAUUUAUUGUUGAUGUUAUUGAAUGAAUGACAACAACAACCAAAAAAACAAAACGA